rnacentral:rRNA from 1 species
UACGAAGGGGGCUAGCGUUGCUCGGAAUCAUUGGGCGUAAAGCGCACGUAGGCGGUUCGUUAUGUCGGAUGUGAAAGCCCUUGGCUUAACCGAGGAAGUGCAUCCGAAACUGGCGAGCUAGAGUACGAAAGAGGAUCGCGGAAUUCCCGGUGUAGAGGUGAAAAUUCGUAGAUAUCGGGAGGAACACCGGUGGCGAAGGCGGCGAUCUGGGUCGAUACUGACGCUGAGGUGCGAAAGCGUGGGGAGCAAACAGG